ensembl:lncRNA
AUGGUUUUUGCGAAAUCUGCGUAUGCCAAGAUAGGGGCCUGUAGCAGCUCCUGCUUCAAUGUCUGGAACGCCGACUCACAAUUUGCAUCCCAGUCUACGUUGGGCGACCCCCGGCCCCGAUCACGGCCUCACUGUCCUCGGGGCCUUCCAGUCCUUCACGGCCGAUACCUUUCCAGGAUCUACGGACACUCCAGCCGCACUGACCACGUGGCCCAGAAAGUUGACUUCUCUCCGUAGUAAGUGACACUUAUUGGGCUGUAGUUUCAAUCCGUACUUCUCCAUGGCCCGAAAGACUUCCUCGAGGUGCCUCAGGUGUGAAUCAAAAAUCUGGGGAGUAGACAAUCACAUCAUCCAGGUAAACUAAUACUGACUCCAUUAACUGACCUCCCAAGCACCGCUGCAUCAGCCGCUGGAAGGUGGCCGGAGCGUUACAGAGCCCGAAAGGCAUCCGGUCCCAUUCAAAUAGUCCAAACGGGGUUGUAAAGGCAGUCUUCUCCCGGUCUGCUUCGGCCACCUGCACCUGCCAGUAGCCACUGGCCAAAUCUAAGGUAGAGUACCAUGCCGACUGCGUGAGGCUGGCAAGCGAAUCUUCGAUCCGUGGCAAAGGGAAAGCGUCUUUCUUAGUCACGAGGUUCAGCUUACGGUAGUCCACGCAGAAUCUCCAAGCCCCCGUCUUCUUUUGCACCAGCACUAUGGGGGCCGCCCACGGGCUGCUGCUUUCCCUGACAACUCCUUGCUUCAGCAUGCCUUGCAGGAGUGUACGUACCUCGGUAUACAAAGUGGGCGGAAUUGGGCGAUACCUCUCCCGGCUGGGCCCUGCAUCCCCGGUAGGUAUAUGAUGUUGUACCACCUGGGUGCAUCCGUAGUCUUCAUCGUGGGUGGCGAACACAUGCUGCCAUCUCCGAAGGAGGGCCUGUAACUUCUGUGUCUGUGCUUGCUCUAAAUCCUCCCCUUGUAAUGACUCACCCGCCAGGUGGCUCGGCACACUCCUCUCCAUACCACCCCAUGGGGUGUCUACUUGUGUCAGGGCCACCUCGAUGACAGUGGGGCACACCUGACGAAAACUAAUAUCCCUCUCUUCCCUUACUUGGUGGGGUGUAACCGUUGUCAGACGGGCUAAUCGUUGGUG